AAAUGGAACAUAAGUCACCUUCCGUAACAGCCAUGUAUAGUGUACGUUAUAUUUGAUUUAUACUAUCCAAACGUUUUGUUAUAUAUAUACACGAAAACACACGGCACGUACGUCAAAUAUUCAAACACAAGUCAGACGCAAUACUGCCGCAAUUUAAACACAAUAUAGCAACUAUAUUAUUCAGAUAUUCCACACCACGUGCAAAGCCGGACUUGUACCAACACGCUGUAUACUCUGAAUUCUCUGACACGGAUUUCUAUGGGUCAUAUAAUAAGAUGGUGUAAGAUGAAGUUUUCGAAACAAGCAAGUACUAUUAUUCGCACACUCUUGGACGUAUUUUCGUUCUUACUUUGAAAACAUCUACGUAUGUAUCUAUGUUCCUACUUCUAACGUUAGAAUGGAACUGUUUACUUCUCGAAGACAGUCACCAUGACAGGAAUUCUCUUCCUCGGUGCUUGAACGAAGAGGUAGAAGUACACUUAAUUGAUUGGUUAUUGUUCCUGCCGAUACCUGGGUCGCAAAGGUCUACAACCAUAAAUAAGAUCCACACAGACAUGAGUUUAUGUUGGCGGUGUAAGUCAUGCUGGAUGGUGCCCCGUUCCAAGGAUGCUCUGUGCUUGAAAAAGAUGGCCUACUUCACCAGCCUAAUGACAUAAUUCUGCCAGAUAACCGUGUCAGUCCGGUACCAAUGGAACAAUACACAUUGUACGAAUUCCGUCUCAAUUUACAAAAAAAAAAAAUCUACCUAGAUCCUUUUGCUGAAAAUUAACAGGAUUUUGUAUCUUUACAUCGAUCUAGGAUAUACGAUUAUUUUUUAUAAUUCUCUAUUUUGUAAUAAUAAUGAUUAUUCCACUGUCUGGAUUUUAGUUCUUUUUAUUAACUUGCUCGAGUAGAAUAGUUCCAUUAAACAUUCCAUGAAAAUGAAGUAUUUUAUUGGAUGGAAUGGAUAUUACAAAAAAUGGGAAAAAUUAGGUGCAGUGAAUAUUAUAAAAAAUUGGAGAAAUUAGAUGCAGUGAAUAUUACAUGAGUAUGAGAUAUUUCAUAAUCAAAAUGACUAACAACUUCCGAGAACUGAUAUACAAAACUGCUUCAUUAUUUCGAAAUUAAGGGAGGAGAAUCAAUAACGAAUGCUUCGCAAACAAUUUUCUGCAUUAAAGUAUCUUCACUUGUAUCUAUUUUAUAAGA